GUUAAUUGAAUUUUACAUAUAUUUAAAUAUAUAUAAAUAUAUACCAUGUUUUGUGGCAUUGCACCCUAAACACACUCAGGAUUAGGGUUAGGAUUAGGAUUAGGGUUAGGAUUAGGAUUACGAUUAGGGUUAGGAUUAGGGUUAGGGGUUCGAUUAGGAUUAGGAUUUGGUAGGAUUAGGGAUUAGGAUUAGGAUUAGGAUUAGGGUUAGGAUUAGGGUUAGGAUCAGGGUUACGAUUAGGGUUAGGAUUAGGGUUAGGAUUAGGGUUAGGAUCAGGUUAGGAUUAGGGUUAGGAUGAGGAUUAGGAUUAGUGUCAUGGAAUCUAUAUUGAUGUGUCUGACGUCCUGUGUACUAACCCGUGACGUAUACUGGAUAUUACUUGGUGUUAUUUUGUU
ensembl:lncRNA